AGGGACCUAACAUUUUGCUGGAUGAUACCCUUUCAAGUGAAGUUGACGAGAGCUUAUUAAAUAUGUUAAGGAUUUUGUUGUACAAGGGUUUCAGUGGGGUGCUCGAGAAGGACCCCUUUGUGAUGAGCCCAUCAGAGGUGUCAAAUUCAAAAUAGUUGAUGCAAAGAUUGCAGCUGAGCCAAUGCACCUUGAACAGGCCAGAUCAUCCCAACCGCAAGACAGGUGGCUUACUCAUCCUUCCUUAUGGCUACCCCAAGGCUUAUGGAACCUAUGUAUUAUGUGGAGGUAUAUUUUGUUAGACCAAAACUACAAGUUUGAUGUUGCAUAGGAACAAGCUGAAUAUUUAAUGACUUUAUUUCCUAGAUUUGUUUGCUUAGCCAUUGUAUUUGCCAAUGGAAUAGCUUGUUAUUUGCAUGCCAGUCCAUGCUCUAAGAUACGCCACCAAUGAUCUAGACGAGGAAUCAUCAGCCGUUGAAACCUUCAUUCAUAGGAAGAAGAAAUUGUUGCCACGCCACCAUAGAUUCCUUUAAGCACUGGACAAAAAAUGCUUGGGCGGUUAUUGAGAU